rnacentral:rRNA from 1 species
AGAGUUUGAUCAUGGCUCAGAACGAACGCUGGCGGCAGGCCUCAAACAUGCAAGUCUAGGGGGUAGCAAUACCACCGGCGGACGGGUGCGUAACACGUGGGAAUAUACCUUUUGGUUCGGAACAACGCAGGGAAACUUGCGCUAAUACCGAAUGUGCCCUUACGGGGAAAGAUUUAUCGCCAAAGGAUUAGCCCGCGUCCGAUUAGCUAGUUGGUGAGGUAAUGGCUCACCAAGGCUCCGAUCGGUAGCUGUUCUGAGAGGAAGAUCAGCCACACUGGGACUGAGACACGGCCCAGACUCCUACGGGAGGCAGCAGUUGGGAAUCUUGGACAAUGGGGGAAACCCUGAUCCAGCCAUGCCGCGUGAGUGAUGAAGGCCUUCGGGUUGUAAAACUCUUUCGACGGGGACGAUAAUGACAGUACCCGUAGAAGAAGCUCCGGCUAACUUCGUGCCAGCAGCCGCGGUAAUACGAAGGGGGCUAGCGUUGUUCGGAAUUACUGGGCGUAAAGCGCGCGCAGGUGGUCUUUCAAGUCAGUGGUGAAAGCCCGGAGCUCAACUCCGGAAAUGCCAUUGAAACUGUGAGACUUGAGGACGAGAGAGGUGAGUGGAAUUCCCAGUGUAGAGGUGAAAUUCGUAGAUAUUGGGAAGAACACCGGUGGCGAAGGCGGCUCACUGGCUCGUAUCUGACGCUCAGGCGCGACAGCGUGGGGAUCAAACAGGAUUAGAUACCCUAGUAGUCC